rnacentral:rRNA from 1 species
AGCGAACGCUGGCGGCAGGCCUAACACAUGCAAGUCGAACGGACCUUUCGGGGUUAGUGGCGGACGGGUGAGUAACACGUGGGAACGUGCCUUUAGGUUCGGAAUAGCUCCUGGAAACGGGUGGUAAUGCCGAAUGUGCCCUUAGGGGGAAAGAGUUAUCGCCUUUAGAGCGGCCCGCGUCUGAUUAGCUAGUUGGUGAGGUAAUGGCUCACCAAGGCUACGAUCAUUAGCUGGUCUGAGAGGAUGACCAGCCACAUUGGGACUGGGACACGGCCCAAACGCCUACGGGAGGCAGCAGUGGGGAAUCUUGCGCAAUGGGCGAAAGCCUGACGCAGCCGUGCCGCGUUGAUGAUGAAGGUCUUAGGAUUGUAUAGUCCUUUCACCGGUGAAGAUAAUGACUGUAGCCGGAGAAGAAGCCCCGGCUAACUUCGUGCCAGCCGCCGCGGUAA